GAAAUUUUUCUUGGUUUUGUAGAUUUGUGAUCUGGUUGCUGUUGCUAGGUUUUUAAAUGUAACUCUCAUAAUUCCUGAAAUUCAAGAAAGUACUCGCUCAAAAGGAAUUAGCUCUAAGUUCAAUAGCUUUUCCUAUAUCUACAAUGUUGAUCAGUUCAUAGCCUAAAGCAAUCUAAGUUCUGCCAGAAGGUCUGAUGGAAAGGAGAAGAAAAAAUGAAAUUCCUUCAUUUAAGACUACAAGUUCUGCUUCUCCAGACUUUUACCUGGAUCAAAUUUUACCAAAGCUAAAGUAAUCAAAGGUUAUCGGAUUAAUUAUUACAAAUGGUGGGGCUCUGCAGGAAAACAUGAUGUGA